CAGGCCGUGGCGCAGAAGGAGCGCACUCGUCUGGGGGACGAGCGGUCGCAGGUGCGAAUCCUGCCGGCCUGACCA
rnacentral:tRNA from 1 species